AAUUUAUUUGAUAGUACCUUACUACUUGGAUAACCGUGGUAAUUCUAGAGCUAAUACAUGCGUUAAGGCCCGACUUUUUGGAGGGCUGUAUUUAUUAGGUAAAAACCAAUGCUAGCAAUAGCUUACUGGUGAUUCAUAAUAACUUCUCGGAUCGUAUGACCUUGUGUCGACGACGUAUCAUUCAAAUUUCUGCCCUAUCAACUUUUGAUGGUAGGAUAGGGGCCUACCAUGGUGAUAACGGGUAACGGAGAAUUAGGGUUCGAUUCCGGAGAGGGAGCCUGAGAAAUGGCUACCACAUCCAAGGAAGGCAGCAGGCGCGCAAAUUACCCAAUCCUGACACAGGGAGGUAGUGACAAAAAAUAACAAUGCAGGGCCUUACGGUCACUGCAAUUGGAAUGAGUACAAUUUAAACCACUUAACGAGUAUCCAUUGGAGGGCAUGUCUGGUGCCAGCAGCCGCGGUAAUUCCAGCUCCAAUAGCGUAUAUUAAAGUUGUUGCAGUUAAAAAGCUCGUAGUUGAAUUUCGGAGGAGAGUUCCUGGUCUAGGUUCGCCUUGUACUGGGAGGCUCGAAUCUUUUUUCUGGGGAAGCGGGGUGUCCUUAAGUGGGCGCCUCGGGGAACCAGGACGAUUACCUUGAGAAAAAUAGAGUGUUCAAAGCAGGCUUUUGCUUGAAUACGUUAGCAUGGAAUAAUAAAAUAGGACUUUGGUUCUAUUUUGUUGGUUUUAAGGACCAAUGUCAUGAUGAAUAGGGACAGUUGGGGGCAUUCGUAUUCCGAAGCUAGAGGUGAAAUUCUUGGAUUUUCGGAAGACGAACUACUGCGAAAGCAUUUGCCAAGGAUGUUUUCAUUAAUCAAGAACGAAAGUUAGGGGAUCGAAGACGAUUAGAUACCGUCGUAGUCUUAACCAUAAACGAUGCCGACUAGGGAUCGGUGAAAGUCGAUUGUGACUUCAUCGGCACCUUACGAGAAAUCAAAGUUUCUGGGUUCUGGGGGGAGUAUAGUCGCAAGGCCGAAACUUAAAGGAAUUGACGGAAGGGCACCACCAGGAGUGGAGCCUGCGGCUUAAUUUGACCCAACACGGGAAAACUCACCAGGUCCAGACAUAGUAGGGAUUGACAGAUUGAGAGCUCUUUCAUGAUUCUAUGGGUGGUGGUGCAUGGCCGUUCUUAGUUGGUGGAGUGAUUUGUCUGGUUAAUUCCGAUAACGAACGAGACCUUAACCUGCUAACUAGUUUACUGAACGUGAGUUCUGGCAAACUUCUUAGAGGGACUAUCUGUGACUAACAGAUGGAAGUUUGAGGCAAUAACAGGUCUGUAAUGCCCUUAGAUGUUCUGGGCCGCACGCGCGCUACACUGAUAAAGUCAGCGAGUAUUCACCUUGACCGGAAGGUUUGGGUAAUCUUUUGAAACUUUAUCGUGAUGGGGAUUGAGCAUUGCAAUUAUUGCUCAUGAACGAGGAAUUCCUAGUAAGCGCGAGUCAUCAGCUCGCGUUGAUUACGUCCCUGCCCUUUGUACACACCGCCCGUCGAUACUACCGAUUGAAUGGCUUAGUGAGACCUUUGGAUGGAGCCCUAGCCGCAAGGCAUCAGGGAGCCAGAAAUUGUUCAAACUUAUCCAUUUAGAGGAAGUAAAAGUCGUAACAAGGUU
rnacentral:rRNA from 1 species